rnacentral:rRNA from 1 species
AUGCCUUACACAUGCAAGUCGAACGGCAGCGGGGGUAGCUUGCUACCUGCCGGCGAGUGGCGAACGGGUGAGUAAUACAUCGGAACGUGCCCUGUAGUGGGGGAUAACUAGUCGAAAGACUGGCUAAUACCGCAUACGACCUGAGGGUGAAAGUGGGGGACCGCAAGGCCUCAUGCUAUAGGAGCGGCCGAUGUCUGAUUAGCUAGUUGGUGGGGUAAAGGCCCACCAAGGCGACGAUCAGUAGCUGGUCUGAGAGGACGAUCAGCCACACUGGGACUGAGACACGGCCCAG